CUGAUGGCGACCGGCGCACGGGUGAGUAACGCGUAUCCAACCUGCCCUUUACUAUGGGACAGCCCGUCGAAAGGCGGAUUAAUACCGUAUGUUGUCAUGUUGAUGCAUAUUUUCAUGACCAAAGGCUUCGGCCGGUAAAGGAUGGGGAUGCGUCUGAUUAGCUUGCCGGCGGGGUAACGGCCCACCGGGGCGACGAUCAGUAGGGGUUCUGAGAGGAAGGUCCCCCACAUUGGAACUGAGACACGGUCCAAACCCCUACGGGAGGCAGCAG
rnacentral:rRNA from 1 species